rnacentral:lncRNA from 10 species
GGAAAUAUGGACACAGACAUAGACACAGAGGAAGAUGAUGUGAAGACACACAGGGAAAACAUCAUGUAAAGACAGGCUUGGAGUGGUGCACCUACAAGGCCCCUGGAAGAUUGGAUGGUGCCUGCCUAUACGGAGGGCGGAUCUUCCCCUCCUCGUCCACUCAGACUCACAUGCAAGUCUCCUCUAGAAACACCCUUGCAGACACACCCCAAAAUGACACUUUUAGAGUGUCUUCGAAGAAGGUAAAUAUUGUUCCCAUUUUGUGGAUAAGAAAAAUGAGAACCAGAGCGAUCAAGGGCUUGCUCAAAAGUACUCAACCAGUUAAUGUCAGAGCUGGCACCUGAACUCAGGCCUCUACAACUCUAAAUGUUUUCAAUGAUAGCAGAAUUGCCUCUAAUGGCAAAACAUUGUAGAAUCAUAUUGAUGUUUCAGAUUAUAUUGCCAGUCGUACUUCGUUGAGCUAUGCUUGGUAAUGCCACUGCCAUCUUGGAAAGAAAAUAGAUGCUGAAGUUCCCCAUAGAUGCUGAACACUCAGAAAGUGCCAAUAGUUGCAUCGAUUUGAU